rnacentral:rRNA from 1 species
GAUUAACGCUGGCGGCGUGCAUAACACAUGCAAGUCGAACGAAGUGGCGGACGGGUGAGUAACGCGUGAGUAACCUGCCUUAGAGAAGUGGAUAGCCUUUGGAAACGAGGAAUAAUACCCUAUGCCCUAUGAUGGACUUGCGUCAGAUUAGUUAGUUGGUGGGGUAACGGCCCACCAAGACAGCGAUCAGUAGCCGGCUUGAGAGAGUGUACGGCAACAGUGGGACUGAGACACGGCCGAGACACUACCGGGGGCAGCAGUGGUGAAUUUGGCACAAUGGGGGAAACCCGGAGGCAGCGAGGCCGUGUGAUUUAGACGGCCUGCGGGUUGGAAAAAUCGUUUAUAUGGGAAGCAGUACCAUAGGAAUAAGGACCGGCUAAUUACGUGCCAGCAGCCGCGGUAAUAC